UACGGGAGGCAGCAGUGGGGAUAUUGCACAAUGGGGGAAACCCUGAUGCAGCGACGCCGCGUGAGUGAAGAAGUAUUUCGGUAUGUAAAGCUCUAUCAGCAGGGAAGAAAAUGACGGUACCUGACUAAGAAGCUCCGGCUAAAUACGUGCCAGCAGCCGCGGUAAU
rnacentral:rRNA from 1 species